AGUGAACGCUGGCGGUAGGCCUAACACAUGCAAGUCGAACGGCAGCACAGUAAGAGUUCGCUCUUACGGGUGGCGAGUGGCGGACGGGUGAGGAAUACAUCGGAAUCUACUUUUUCGUGGGGGAUAACGUAGGGAAACUUACGAUAAUACCGCAUACGAUCUACGGGAGAAAGCAGGGGAUCUUCGGACCUUGCGCGAUUGAAUGAGCCGAUGUCGGAUUAGCUAGUUGGCGGGGUAAAGGCUCACCGAGGCGACGAUCCGUAGCUGGUCUGAGAGGAUGAUCAGCCACACUGGAACUGAGACACGGUCCAGACUCCUACGGGAGGCAGCAGUAGGGAAUAUUCGACAAAGGGCGCAAGCCUGAUCCAGCCAUACCGCGUGGGUGAAGAAGGCCUUCGGGUUGUAAAGCCCUUUUGUUAGGAAAGAAAAACAGCAGAUUAAUCCCCCGCUGUUCUGACGGUACCCAAAGAAUAAGCACCGGCUAACUUCGUG
rnacentral:rRNA from 1 species